rnacentral:rRNA from 1 species
GGGCCCGCACAAGCGGUGGAGUAUGUGGUUUAAUUCGAUGCAACGCGAAGAACCUUACCAGGGUUUGACAUCCUGCGAAUCAUCGAUUGGGAAACAGGAGACGUUGCCGAUUCGGGAACGCAGUGACAGGUGGUGCAUGGCUGUCGUCAGCUCGUGUCGUGAGAUGUUGGGUUAAGUCCCGCAACGAGCGCAACCCACGUCUUUAGUUGCCAGCAUUUAGUUGGGCACUCUAGAGAGACUGCCGGUGAUAAACCGGAGAAGGUGUGGAUGACGUCAAGUCAUCAUGCCCCUUACAUCUGGGCUACACACGUACUACAAUGCUACGGACAAAGGGCAGCAAGUUCGCGAGGACAAGCAAAUCCCAUAAACGUGGCUC